CGGGGUGUAGCGCAGCUUAGGAAGCGCGCCGCCCACAAUGCGGAGGUCGCAGGUUCAAGUCCUGCCACCCCGA
rnacentral:tRNA from 1 species